UUUAUGAAAAUCCAUUCAAAUGAAGACACAUUCAAGGCAAGGACUUUGAUUCCCCUCGUCUCGCACAGGAAAUAAAGGUGAUUUACAAGCAACUGGGGAGGAAAGUGACAAAGGGAGAACGCAGCCGGCGUAGCGUGACAGGCUGCAUUUCUGAUCAUGCUAAUAAUAGCCCCAGACUCUGUCUCUCCAGCAUUGUGCUGCGAGAUAUUUAUAGGUCUGCGGGCUGCAGCCGCGGCCAGCAAAGGCACAAGGUUACGGAGGCAGCGCUCGGUCCGUGCGCAUCGCUAACCCGCACCCCUGCUAGCGGAAAUACUUCAGACCAAAAGGAAACAUGCUGUCCUAUAACAAGUGAAGAGGACAUGCUGGAUCAGAACCGGCACUGCCAUCCCAAAGCGAGAAGCCCGCCGGGCCACCUCCAGCAAGCACAAGACGAAGUUCUUCUCAUUUUUCCGCAGAACCAGGUCAUCUGUCUCGAACAUCAAGACAUCUGCAGAACAUGGAGAGUGAAUAUGCCUAAUCACGCCCACAGAUUCUGAGAUCUGUGAUAUUUCCAUGUGAUAUAUUCACAUAAAAAGGUACCCCAAAGAUGAGAUGCCAGACUGAGCACAAUAAGGGCAAUUAGAAGACACCUGCAGUAUCCAGAGGAAACCCAAACACAGCUCCCAGAGUGGGAACUGAACCCACAACAUCUGAAAUGUCGAACCACAGAAUUAUCCACUGAAUCACCAUACUAUCCCCAUAACACUGACGGUGGGCAUUUAUGCUGAAACUGUCUAUCAACUCAGAUAUACCACGUGGGACCGCAGGUUUUUGGAGCCGCCUGGUGGUCAAAUAACAGACUGCCGCAAAAGCUCUGAAGAAGAUAUAUAAGUUUCGUGUCUUGGAGCAGCGUAUGAUUAUUCACGCAAUUAACAUUAAUUAGUAAUAUUAAUUAACUCGACUAGAUUAGUUAAUCCAAAGUACAGGAUAUCUGAUGGGCCUGCAGCCAUCCAGGACCGUAUUUUAUUCAUAUUUGUUUAUAUUGUAUCUUUCGCACUAUGCAUGCAACACAAGACAACCCAAUUUUAAAGUAAAAAUUAACUGCGAAGAAGGAAACUGCACAGUAAAAUGAUCACGACAAUGCUAACAGAUGUUUUCCCCUUGAAAACCCCACGAAGUUUGUAUUCUAUCGUUUCUAAGAGACCUUCAAAGCAGUGAAAUAUAAAGUUAAUUAAAACAUAAAACAUGAACAUAA